GUGAGAGAGCCAAGUGGGGCAAAGCUCGUCUACAGGAGGGCAGCUUGCCACACCUCAUGAAUCCACAGCUUUUAGGCCCCCUUGGGUACCUACAGGCAGAGAGGAUCAGGACCAUCUGGGGCAAUAAAGCUGGACUUUCACUGUGUGUCUGCUUGUGUGUGUGCCUGCCCGUGUGCAUGUGUACACUUGUGUGUCUGUUUCUGUGCAUGUACAUCUGUGUGUGUGGGGGAGGCUGUGUCUAUGUGCAUGUGUGCACACGAUGCAGGAGGGUGAGCAUCAAUACAGGAAAGGGAAGCAGGGAAGCUCUGGAUUGGGGUUUGGUCAAAAGUCAAAACUCUGGAGAGAUUCUGACAGGAACUUCAC
rnacentral:lncRNA from 1 species